rnacentral:rRNA from 1 species
UUGAAGAGUUUGAUCAUGGCUCAGAUUGAACGCUGGCGGCAGGCCUAACACAUGCAAGUCGAGCGGUAGCACAGAGAGCUUGCUCUCGGGUGACGAGCGGCGGACGGGUGAGUAAUGUCUGGGAAACUGCCUGAUGGAGGGGGAUAACUACUGGAAACGGUAGCUAAUACCGCAUAAUGUCGCAAGACCAAAGUGGGGGACCUUCGGGCCUCAUGCCAUCAGAUGUGCCCAGAUGGGAUUAGCUGGUAGGUGGGGUAACGGCUCACCUAGGCGACGAUCCCUAGCUGGUCUGAGAGGAUGACCAGCCACACUGGAACUGAGACACGGUCCAGACUCCUACGGGAGGCAGCAGUGGGGAAUAUUGCACAAUGGGCGCAAGCCUGAUGCAGCCAUGCCGCGUGUGUGAAGAAGGCCUUCGGGUUGUAAAGCACUUUCAGCGGGGAGGAAGGCGGUGAGGUUAAUAACCUCACCGAUUGACGUUACCCGCAGAAGAAGCACCGGCUAACUCCGUGCCAGCAGCCGCGGUAAUACGGAGGGUGCAAGCGUUAAUCGGAAUUACUGGGCGUAAAGCGCACGCAGGCGGUCUGUCAAGUCGGAUGUGAAAUCCCCGGGCUCAACCUGGGAACUGCAUUCGAAACUGGCAGGCUAGAGUCUUGUAGAGGGGGGUAGAAUUCCAGGUGUAGCGGUGAAAUGCGUAGAGAUCUGGAGGAAUACCGGUGGCGAAGGCGGCCCCCUGGACAAAGACUGACGCUCAGGUGCGAAAGCGUGGGGAGCAAACAGGAUUAGAUACCCUGGUAGUCCACGCUGUAAACGAUGUCGAUUUGGAGGUUGUGCCCUUGAGGCGUGGCUUCCGGAGCUAACGCGUUAAAUCGACCGCCUGGGGAGUACGGCCGCAAGGUUAAAACUCAAAUGAAUUGACGGGGGCCCGCACAAGCGGUGGAGCAUGUGGUUUAAUUCGAUGCAACGCGAAGAACCUUACCUGGUCUUGACAUCCACAGAACUUUCCAGAGAUGGAUUGGUGCCUUCGGGAACUGUGAGACAGGUGCUGCAUGGCUGUCGUCAGCUCGUGUUGUGAAAUGUUGGGUUAAGUCCCGCAACGAGCGCAACCCUUAUCCUUUGUUGCCAGCGGUCCGGCCGGGAACUCAAAGGAGACUGCCAGUGAUAAACUGGAGGAAGGUGGGGAUGACGUCAAGUCAUCAUGGCCCUUACGACCAGGGCUACACACGUGCUACAAUGGCAUAUACAAAGAGAAGCGACCUCGCGAGAGCAAGCGGACCUCAUAAAGUAUGUCGUAGUCCGGAUUGGAGUCUGCAACUCGACUCCAUGAAGUCGGAAUCGCUAGUAAUCGUAGAUCAGAAUGCUACGGUGAAUACGUUCCCGGGCCUUGUACACACCGCCCGUCACACCAUGGGAGUGGGUUGCAAAAGAAGUAGGUAGCUUAACCUUCGGGAGGGCGCUUACCACUUUGUGAUUCAUGACUGGGGUGAAGUCGUAACAAGGUAACCGUAGGGGAACCUGCGGUUGGAUCACCUCCUU